GAAUGAUUAUUGAAAUUGCUGAAGGUGGUUUCUAAGUAUAAAAAUAGAUCCAGUAUGGAAAUCGUAACACAAGUAUGCGGUCUAUUCACAACAUACUGGUACCCUUUUGACCUUAACACAUCAAAAGCUAUAAAGAGGAUGACAAGAACCUGGUAAAUUAAUUCCCAUAACCUGUCCAGAAGACAUUUUUACAGCUUCAAUGUUGAAGAUCGGAGUUGUAUCAGCCACUGUAUUUGCUGGAGCUGAGAAGGCAACAACUGAAGAAUUCCAAUCAUGAUCAACCUUGUCCAAAGAACUUAACCUGAAAACAUUUUUUUUAAUUUUGACAUCUGUAAUUGGUUUGGUUUCUCUCCAACU
rnacentral:misc_RNA from 1 species